GGAAAGGCUUAGGGAUAACAUCCAUGGAUUGAGGAGUUGAAACUUUGACCUGAAAAUUUAAAUUUGAAGAUACGAGGGCUUUAUGAAGGUAAUUCAUGGCAGGAACCAGAACAGCAGCAGCAUUAGGGAUCGAGGUGAGAACCUCAUUGCCAACUGCAAUUGCUGUAAUGUUGGUCGAAGGCACGUAAGAAGCAACAUUUUUGUUAAUCCAUGCUGCAGCUGCUGCUGGAGAUUCCCCAAUCCCUAGGACUUCCCCAUUUGUAAUACCAACCAUAACUUCAAUCCCACUGUUUGCAAGGGCUUUCAACAUGUGAGCAUCAGCAUCAUAGAGGCGCACAUGAGUAAUUUGAUUGGCUUUAAGGAUUGCAACCACAUCUGAAGCUGAUGGCAUGUUGGAGACAUCAGUUCCGAUGUUUAUUCCUAGAAAUGCACCUACUGCGUUGCUGAACAUGACAACUAGGAGUAAAAGAAGACUUCCAAACCAUUUUUUGAGCAC
rnacentral:misc_RNA from 1 species